CAAAAGUAGUUUUGUUUCUCCUCUGUGCUAGACCCUAAUUAUUCCCAAAUGUGACAGCAGAAAUGUCAGUGUCUUGCCAAUGAGGCAUAGCAUAGAUUCCAAGGCAACCUCUCAUUAUUGCACUAUUUUGCUCUGUGCUGCAACUCUUGCAUGAUGAGUUACAACAGCAAGGCCGGUGCUCCAUCGUUGCACCAUGUCGACAAGAAAACAAUUAAACAGACUUGGUGAAUUCGUUGUAGCGUCCAGCUGUCCAGCUCACCACCCGGCAGGCAAAAUAGGGGUUUCUCGCACUUCUGCCAAAUUCUAGCCCUCACAUGAAAUGGGAUAGAACAGGGUUACUGUUUUUCCUUGUAGCCGCGUACAGUACAAUACCCAGUUCCUUCAACUUUGCGGGCUCUGGGCUCUUGGACUGGACAAUCUGGGCGUAGUCUCUUGAAAAAAAGUUGAACCUGAUGUCCCGGUGCUCUCCUUCCUAUUUGAUUUGAUGCUGCCAUCUCUCAAGAAUCAUACACAAUGAUUAUUGCACAGAGAGUUGGUGCCAUAUAUUUCUCCCGGU
rnacentral:lncRNA from 1 species